UAUAUCAGGGUGUAUGAGACAUGGAAAUGUCUCACUGAACAAUGAGGCUCAUAACAUCAGUCUCCAUGAAACAGUCUUUCAUAAGGAGCUCUAAAGUUUUUUUGAGAGGAAAAGAAACUGACAGACAAAAGGAAAAUCCCUAGAGGAUGAACUCAAGCUUCAAGACAGCUUAAGUAUAGAGUUUGAUGUGUGCAAAAGACACAGGAGGUCAAGUAAUCCCCUUAUGGUUAGAGAAUAUAUAGUAAAAAUUCUA